ensembl:lncRNA
AGAAAUUUAAGUGGUCAGGCUUGUCAAGGAGAAGGAAAACUGCAGGGCUGGAGACCGACUGAGAUUAGAACUGACUUUUGGAGAAAUGGGAGCUGAGGUAAUGAUCCGGCACUGCUCAGCGCAAGGGAUCUCCUGUACCAAGGCCAGAGGAGGCAGCGCCCAGGCACUUCUGCCCCCGAUGCUGAGGCAAUCUCUUUUGCUCAAGACCGACUGCCUCUGCCGUGAGCGCAACCCUUUUGUCAUCUGCACCGUGCUCCCCUUUGUCAUUGCACCGCUGGACUCACAUCCUUGAACUCAGAGCACAAAAAAACCCUCUGGUUUUUGAAGUGAUGGUUUGUUUGUUUUUCCUCUUUGGUCGAUGCCGGGAUCAGUGAUGUCAAGUUGUUCUAUUUGCUUUGACAGGAAAAUGUUUUCAGAGUUCAUUAGGAUGGCAUCAAUUCUAGCAUUUGGCACACAAACAUUUGAUGACCUUCAUGUGUGGGAAGAAAUAUGUAGGCAAAACUUCCAUUAGUUUGAAAAAAUGCUUCCACUCAACACCGGUCAGAUUCCUGAGCUGCCCGAGUUGUGAUCGGCCGGGAGGCUGUGGGCAUGGAGCCGCGCCCGGCGCUCCUGGGAGCCGGGCUGGGGUACCGCUGGGUCCGCGCCUCCGCCUCGCUGCCCGGCAGGUGCUGCCGCCGUCCUGCCCUACCCACACAGCGUCCUAACGCUCGCCUGGAUUCACCAUGUUUUUAUGUUUUGCUCUCAUAUCCCGUAAUCAAGAGGAAGGCCCCGGUGUGGAUAGAGGGGAUUUGUACUCAGCCUUUGUUUGAUGUUUGCUUGUUCCUAGUGGUGCUGCCUGGGUAAGGAAAGCCAAAUGCUGCCCAUAUGUUGUAGUGCUCCCUUAAAUUAUAGAGGGCGAACAUUUAUGGCUGCUCUCACUGUUGCUCCGUCUCUGUCCCCUGCUAAAUGAUACGUUUUCACAGGCAAUUACGGAGGUGUGGAGUCAGGACUGGUUUCUGAGGUGUGCCACUUAACGGCCUACAUGUAAAAAUGGGAGACGGGAGGAGGAGGAUGGCAGAGGUUCAGUAUCGUGCCCUGCUUAAGAGAAUGUCCUUCAAGUGAGCAGAAUUCUGCACCUUGUGAAAGUAUGACUUUAAUUUUGCCUUUCAAAUAUGAACUAUGCAAGGCUGUCAACACAUACUAUGUUCCUCCUUGUCAGACCGUUUCACUUAGUCUGUCAGCUGUAAACAGCUUAAGAGGCAUGUCAUUCCAGCAUUAUUAUAGCACUUUUAGAUUUGCUUUUAGAUUGGGUCUGUAUCUGUUCUUGCAAAAGGUGUAGAUACAGAGAUGACACGGGUUAUUUAUUGUGUUACUGCAAAAUGCUACUUGUGCUUUGUGGUAAGCGCAGAGUAACUCCAUUUCAAAUAAUGGACACUGCCGAGUAAUAGUCCUGUAGUACCGUGGUAAUGCCAGGGCCAUACUUGGUCUCGUCAGCUGUGUCACUAGAGCAGGGUACUUCACUGCCUGGGUAUAUGGCCUCACACUUCAUGUGAAGUUUUAUUUCCCAAGAGAUCGGGCAAGCAAAAUUAAGAUGUAUG